ensembl:antisense 9630028H03Rik RIKEN cDNA 9630028H03 gene
ACAGAAGGUGAGCUCUGUGUAUAGGCAGCACAUCUGUAUCUACAUCUAUAUCUACAUCUCUCUGCACCUUGUCAUUGAGUGUGCUCCUGUCAAACCCAAAUGCCGUUGCUGUCACGCCAUUGGAGCAAGGGUUUCCCCUUAAAGACUGAUUUUGAAAUAAAAUGAAAGACAAUCAAGAAACCAAGAGGGUCAGCAGCACAGAGAGCUGAGACAGGUGUUUAGCCUUGGAACUCCUACAGGUUAACGGACCGGGAAGCAGGAACUGCUAAUAUUAAGGAUUACACAGUGCCAGAUCAAAAGAACGGAGGCAUUACAGCUCACAGCCGUCUCUCAAUCAAAAGAACGGAGGCAUUACAGCUCACAGCCGUCUCUCAAUCAAAAGAACGGAGGCAUUACAGCUCACAGCCGUCUCUCAGAGAGCAUUAUUAUUCAUUUGGGACCCAGACUUCAAGAAGAUGCCCCACACGGCACCUGCUUGUAGAAUGUGUAAUUUAACAGGAGACAGUGUUAUGAGAAAGAAAUUACAGAGUUGUACUGUAGCCCCAGGUAAUCUUAUUAAUCUUUUUGACCUUUCUUUUGCUAUCGUACUGGUUGUUUCUAAUAGAAAGAUACCAUUAUCAUUCUUUAUUGAAGUAGGAAGUAGGAAAAACACGAACAGCAAUGAGGUGGUUUUUAACGUGUGACACUAAUGGACAGUGUACCCAGGCAGGUGACACUGUGGUCACUCAAGUAGAUAAUUCAUGUGUUUACUUCAUUCCUGCCCUUCUCUUUCUAAUGGCAACAAAAUUCUAGAAUCUGACAGAGGAGUCUUAUUUAACAGAUUUAGUGACUUUGAGGAAAAAAUACAAGUCAUUAGUAAAGUAGUCUUUGUUUGAAAGGAAGACUUUAUAGUCAUUAAUUUCCUUGAGAGGUCAGAGAGAUGGUGUGACAUUCCUGGAGGGCUUCAGGUGCAUCACAGAGGGGUCCGCAUAUCUCCUUUAGGUUCCUCUAAGAUGGUCUUCUCCUUUGGGGGAGUGUCACUUCUCUACUGCAGCAUGUAGCAGAUUUCCCAUUGCGUCUGAAAACUGAAGCUUUGUGAAGACGUUCUGAGCAGCAGAGCUCCUAAUGCCGCUUUCCUGGAAGGGGUUCAUGGUUCAUGAAUUAAGAGUGAGAAAAGGGACAGAGGGGCAACAACUGCUUUAAUAAGUGUUCUUAAAUCUCUGUUAGUUUGAAGAUCUCUUGGGUAAUGUUUUAAAAUGUGUCCUGUUACUGUUCUCGUUCUCUUCUCUCCUACCCAUUUGCUAUAUGACAUCACACUGGACAUUACCAGCAAGAAUGUACCUAAGGGCACACAUGGGUACAGAGAUGGGGCUGAAGGGCAUCGCAUGGUACUUCCUGGAGAAUGGCAUGGGUGAAUGAGGUUAGGAGUCUAUCUAACCACAUGUUGCUUCGUAGGCAAGGGGCUGGCUAUGUAGAGUUUUGGGUAGGUCCCCCCCCCAAAAAAGUUACUGGACCAUAGCCACACUCAUUGAUUUAUAAUAUGUAUUAUAUUGAUUUAUUAUAUAUUCAAUUAAUAGCAAUGAAAUAUAAUAUAAAUAGUCUGUGGCUAUUUGGGGUUCAAGGGGCAAAGUGAGCAGGGUGACAAGGAUUAUAUGAUCCCAAUAGGCUAAAAUACUUUAUUUUAAAAAUUUGAGCUCAUUUUUCCAUUGGUAUACGAACUUCUAGAAUGACUUCUAAACUGAAAACAGAUAUUAAGUAAUCAAUGCACCAGUGUGAUUUAUAAUUAUGACAUUGUACAGUAGAUCAUGGUAUCCUUAUUGUGGGACAUACAGUAAACAAGUGAUCUGCCCUUCUAAUAGGCUUUUAAGUGCAUGGUGUUUUAUGGUUGACUUGAGUUCAAUGCUUUAUGACAGAUCUCAAAAUCUGAUCCCAUCCUGCUUGACUGGAGCUGCUUGCCCAUGGAUUGACAGCUCUCACAUGGCCUUCCCCUUUCCCACCCCUAUCCCUCAGAUAUUGCAAAAAACAUUCUGUUUUUUGAUUCAGUGAGUCUGGCUACUUUGCAUACUUUAUGUAAGGGGCAUCACGAAGCACAGCUGAUUUUCUGUGACUGGCAUAUUUCACUUAGAAUAUCUUCAAGUGUCAUGUACAUUUUUUCCCCUGACUGGUGGUGGUGGGGGGGGUCCUUUUUCAAGGCUGAAUAGCAUUUCGCCAUUCUGUCAUACCACAUUUUCUCUAUCCAUUCACUCAAUGAUGGUGAGUCCAGGUCAUUUUCACACAUUAGCUAUUAUGAAUAGUGUUUCAGUAAAUGAAAACAGCAAUGUGAUAUCACUUCAUACCUGUCAAAAUGGCUAUUAUUAAAAUAAAAGUCAGCAAGGGUUGC